GUUGAACGCUAGCGGCGUGCCUAAUACAUGCAAGUCGAGCGACCAGACGGACUGCUUGCUCCCCUCGAGUUACCGACGGACGGGUGAGUUAUCCGUGGGUACCCUAUAUCUAGGGAUGAGUUCGCUUAAGGGUACCUAAGAUCGUAUAGGCUCUUCUGUUGAAAGCAAUGGAUCGUAAGACCUUGCAGGAUUUGAUCUGCCUAUACCGUAUUAGCUAGUUGGUAAGGUAACGGCUUACCAAGGCGACGAUCCGUAGCAGCGCUGAGAGGACGACCGGCCACACUGGGACUGAGACACGGUCCAGACUCCUACGGGAGGCAGCAGUAGGGAAUCUUCCGCAAUGGGCGAAAGCCUGACGGAGCAACGCCGCGUGAGUGAUGAAGGUCUUCGGAUCGUAAAGCACUUUUAGUAGGGAAGAACAAUUGUGUAAUUAUCUAUCCUCGACUUGACGGUACCUAAUCAGAAAGCCACGGCUAACUACGUG
rnacentral:rRNA from 1 species